AGGUAAAUACACUGUGUGAGGAUAUGGGAGAGGACCACCUCAGCUGUAGUAUCCCAGUUGUAAAACAUGCUCCUCUUGGAGGCCUGAUUGACACUGCUGGCUUCAUUUAAGCACCAGAUUGCAGCUCCCAGCCAGCAUGGCCAACUGGGACACUGGGAACUAUUACUUUUUCAAGCUCUGAAACUGAAAUGGAUCAAGGAAAUAACAUGACAAUCAACAGCCAUCAGCAUCUGAAAUCUUGACAACAAACCAGGACAAAUACAUUUAAUAAUAAUGUUUUUUUUUUUGUAAAUGUUUGUAUGGGAUUACAUGUGAUUUCUGUUCUUCUUUUGCAUUAUGUUUCUUUCUACAAAUAUUUGUCCAAUCAAGUUUUGCUGGCAUUAUAUUUCCUAAAGAUGUAAUCUCGGUGUGAUCUGAGUGAGUAUUUUCAGUUUGCCUCAGCUGUUUGGGGUGCUUUUCAAGCAAAGAAAAGCAAUAUUUUUAUUUAUUUAUUUAUUUAUUUAUUUUAAAAUACAAGUUAUAGAGAUACCUGUACAUCAAAUCUUGAAAAAGGAGAAAAAGAAGCACAAAUUAAGACAUAAAGAAUAAAGAUUAGAGAACAACAAAUAAAAUGAAAAAUAUAACUUC